rnacentral:sRNA from 1 species
GAAACAAGAUGGCGGGCUCGUGGUGAGAAGCCGUCAAGGAGUAGAAAUUGGUAUGCUUAGAAGCAGAUUUUAAAAGCAGUUUAUCUUCAAAACAUCUUUUUUCAUACCACUUGAUAAGCAUCUUGAAACACCAUGGCUGUAGCUGCAGUAAAAUGGGUGAUGUCAAAGAGAACUAUCUUGAAACAUUUAUUUCCAGUCCAAACAGCGUAGAGCUUGCUGUGACUUCUGAUGGCAGGACAAUAGUAUGCUACCACCCUUCUGUGGACAUUCCGUAUGAACACACGAAACCUAUCCCUCGGCCAGAUCCUGUGCAUAAUAAUGAAGAAACACAUGAUCAAGUGCUGAAAACCAGAUUGGAAGAAAAAGUUGAACACCUUGAGGAAGGACCUAUGAUAGAACAACUUAGCAAAAUGUUCUUUACUACUAAGCACCGUUGGUAUCCUCAUGGACGGUAUCACAGAUGUCGUAAGAACCUGAAUCCUCCAAAAGACAGAUGAUGCUGAGGUUCCUGGGGGAAUCAAAGAGAAAUGUGCCUCAUUUGCCAUUUGGGAAAAUGCAGUCUGGUGU